CUGGUAGUUAAAACGUCUACAACAACAAAAAAUUACUCAUGGAACUCGAGGUCGUCCCAUUGUUUCCUAUAGGGGAAAUAUAGAUGCCUGCCUCGUCACCAAGCGAGGAAGAUAUUUCUCAUCAAAUGCAAAAUGGAGCCCAGGAGUCAAACAAAAAAUAGAACCCAGGAGUCAAACAAAGUAUUUCAUUUCAGGGUGGUCUGAGGGACAUUACUUGGAAAGUGGCGUCCAUUGAGGCGUAGAGGAUUGUCAGAGGCAGGCCGGCCCUCAGCAGACGGAUGGAGUGUGGUGGUCCUCAAAGAGCUGCCGCAUCAGGUUUAUCCUGUACUGCUGGUACGAGAUCACCUGUCCUGUGACCUGCCGGUGGACAAUGUGGCCGUUGAGGAGAGCUAUAUCUAUUAGGUGGAAAAAUAGCUUAUUUAAGGGACUUUCUGGCACACUCAACAAAACUGUUCUGCAUGUCCACUUUGUCAACUGCUCCCAUCUUCUUGUUGUACUCCAAGACAAAGUCUGGCUUCAUUUUCCUCUCUCCGGUGACAUAGUCCAGUUUUCCUGUGUCCGACAUUUUGGAGGUGUGCACAGUGGACAGAACAUGGACAUCGCUUUUGUCAUGCCAUUUCACUGCCAUUAUCUCCCUGUUUGUUUGGAAUUCCACCUCCCCCUUGCUCAUUUUCUUUUUGAAUAUUGGCAUCCCCUUCCUGUUGGAUCUCACUGUGCCACAGGCCCCUGUGUUCUCCCUCAAAAAGGUACUGGAAAAGGGCAGGGCUACUGUACCAGUUGUCAACAAAUACAGUGUGCCCCUUUCUGAGGUAAGGCUGCAGCAUGGUGAUCACAACUGAUCCAGAUAUGCCAAGACCCUCAAAAUGCCUUAUAUCUGUGGUGGCGCCGGUGUAGAUGAUCAGGUCCUGUACAUAUCCUGUCAGACAGUCACAUAGAACAAAGAACUUGACUCCAAAUCUGUGGCGGUUUGAUGGGAUGUAUUGGCGGAAUGCAAGCCUUCCUUUCCAAGCCAUGAGAGACUCAUCAAUGCACAAGUCCUUGUGAGGAACAAACACUCUUCCAAAUACCCUGGUGAAGCUGCCCAGGACAUUCCUCAUUUUGUGAAGGGGUUCGGCGAGGUUGGCAGUGGCGUUGUUCACAAAGUGGUCCAGUAGUCCCUCACAGAGCCAUUCCUCACUAGCCCCAUCAGCAGCACCGUGAUCAGGAAGGUAUACAUUUCACUGAUGGUGAAACCAUCCCCCCCCAUGCACCCGAAAACCCCCCACAAACCCCACUAAAAUGGUUUUAACCAAAUCUGGCAACCCUGUUCGCGCUAUGGCUAAGCUAGGCAAUAGGCUUGUAUUUGGGUGAUGAUCUGUGAGGUGAUAAAAUUUGAUUUGCUUUGUGAUUGGUUAAAAACUGUAAACAACUUGUCAAGUCAUGUGCUCCGGUUCUUGCAUACACUGUAACAAGCUCAUGCAGAUUUGUAAUAUGCUGAAAAGUGGCCAAACUAAGUUGAUAUUUUCCGGGCAAUGGGUGCAGCCAUAUUUGACUUUGUUUAUUUGCAUCUUAUGCCACGUUCAAAACAACUGGGAACUCUGAAAAAUACAAGGUAAAAUCAUGACAUCAGUGAUCUUCGGGUCAUUAAGUCAGAGCUCUUGAAAGAAGCCCAGAGUUGGAAUUCCGUGUUGGAU